rnacentral:rRNA from 1 species
GAUGAACGCUGGCGGCGUGCUUAACACAUGCAAGUCGAACGGGAAUUACUUUAUUGAAACUUCGGUCGAUUUAAUUUAAUUCUAGUGGCGGACGGGUGAGUAACGCGUGGGUAACCUGCCUUAUACAGGGGGAUAACAGUCAGAAAUGGCUGCUAAUACCGCAUAAGCGCACAGAGCUGCAUGGCUCGGUGUGAAAAACUCCGGUGGUAUAAGAUGGACCCGCGUUGGAUUAGCUUGUUGGUGGGGUAACGGCCCACCAAGGCGACGAUCCAUAGCCGGCCUGAGAGGGUGAACGGCCACAUUGGGACUGAGACACGGCCCAGACUCCUACGGGAGGCAGCAGUGGGGAAUAUUGCACAAUGGGGGAAACCCUGAUGCAGCGACGCCGCGUGAAGGAAGAAGUAUCUCGGUAUGUAAACUUCUAUCAGCAGGGAAGAUAGUGACGGUACCUGACUAAGAAGCCCGGCUAACUACGUG